rnacentral:lncRNA from 1 species
AUUUUUAAAAAGAACCUAUUGAUCAAAUAUUCUGAAACAAUGCUCAUCUAUCAACAAAAACUCUUGUAAACCUAAUUUCUAAAUCAAAAUACCAAAUCUACAAUAUUUGCCUACAAAAAUGAUAACUUUCCCAAAAUAGCAGUUUUUUAAAAGAUUAUUUUUAAAAAGAACCUAUUGAUCAAAUAUUAUAAAAGAAUGUUCAUCUAUCAACAAAAACUCUAGUUAUCUGAAUUUCUAAAUUACAAUCCAAAAUUUUCAAUAUUUUUCUACAAAAAUGUUAACUUUAGUAAAAUAGCAGUUUUUAGAAAAUUUAUUUAAAAAAUGCAUUCUAAUGAUAAAAAAUUCUAAAAAAUGCUCAUCUACUAAAAAAACUCAUGUAAUCCUAAUUUCUAAAUCAAAAUACCAAAUCUACAAUAUUUGUCUACAAAAAUGAUAACUUUCCCAAAAUAGUAGUUUUUAAAAAAAUGAUUUUUAAAAAGAACCUAUUGAUCAAAUAUUAUAAAAGAAUAUUAAUCUAUCAACAAAAACUCUUGUUAUCUGAAUUUCUAAAUUACAAUCCCAAGUCUUCAAUAUUUCUCUACAAAAAUGAUAACUUUCCUAAAAUAGCAGUUUUUAGAAAAUUUAUUUAAAAAUACUUUCUAAAAAUAAAAAAUUCUAAAAAAUGCUCAUCUAUUAAAAAACCUCUUGUAAUCCUAAUUUCUAAAUCAAAAUACCAAAUGAACAAUAUUUGUCUACAGAAAUGAUAACUUUUCCAAAAUAGCAGUUUUUUAAAAAAUUAUUUUAAAAAAGAACCUAUUGAUCAAAUAUUCUAAAAGAAUGUCCAUCUAUCAACAAAAACUAUUGUUAUCUGAAUUUCUAAAUUACAAUCCCAAAUCUUCAAUAGUUCUGUACAAAAAUUCUAACUUUCCUAAAAUAGCAGUUUUUAGAAAAUUUAUUUUAAAAAUACAUUCUAAUGAUAAAAAAUUCUAAAAAAUGCUCAUCUAUUAAAAAAACUCUUGUAAUCCUAAUUUCUAAAUCAAAAUACCAAAUCUACAAUAUUUGUCUACAAAAAUGAUAACUUUCCCAAAAUAGCAGUUUUUAAAAAAAUUAUUUUAAAAAAGAACCUAUUGAUCAAAUAUUCUAAAAAAAUGCUCAUCUAUCAACAAAAACUCUUGUAAUCCUUGUUUCUAAAUCAAGAUACCAAAUCUACAAUAUUUGUCUACAAAAAUGAUAACUUUCCCAAAAUAGCAGUUUUUAAAAAAAUUAUUUUUAAAAAAGAACCUAUUGAUCAAAUAUUCUAAAAGAAUGCUCAUCUAUCAACAAAAAUUCUUGUAAUCCUAGUUUCUAAAUAAAGAUACCAAAUCUACAAUAUUUGUCUACAAAAAUGAUAACUUUCCUAAAAUAGCAGUUUUUAGAAAACUAAUUUUAAAAAUGAACCUAUUGAUCAAAUAUUCUAAAAGAAUGUCUAUCUAUCAACAAAAACUCUUGUUAUCUUACUUUCUAAAUUACAAUCUCAAAUCUACAAUAUUUUUCUACAAAAUGAUAAGUUUCCUAAAAUAGCAGUUUUUAGAAAAUUUAUUUAAAAAAUACAACCUAAUGAUAAAAAAUUCUAAAAAAAUGCUCAUCUAUCAACAAAAACUCUUGUAAUCCUAAUUUCUAAAUCAAAAUACCAAAUCUACAAUAUUUGUCUACAAAGAUGAUAACUUUCCAAAAAUAGCAGUUUUUUAAAAAAUUAUUUUUAAAGAAAACCUACAGAUCAAAUAUUCUAAAAGAAUGUCCAUCUAUCAAUAAAAACUCUUGUUAUCUGAAUUUCUAAAUUACAAUUUCAAAUCUUCAAUAUUUCUUUACAAAAAUGAUAAUUUUUCCAAAAUAGCAGUUUUUAGAAAAUUUAUUUAAAAAAUACAUUCUAAUGAUAAAUUUUUUUAAAAAAAUGCUCAUAUAUUAAAAAAACACUUGUAAUCCUAAUUUCUAAAUCAAAAUACCAAAUCUACAAUAUUUGUCUACAAAAAUGAUAACUUUCCAUAAAUAGCAGUUUUAAAAAAAAAUUAUUUUUAAAAAGAACCUAUUGAUCAAAUAUUCUAAAAGAAUGCUCAUCUAUCAACAAAAACUCUUGUAAUCCUAGUUUCUAAAUCAAGAUAGCAAAUCUACAAUAUUUGUCUACAAAAAUGGUAACUUUGCCAAAAUAGAAGUUUUUUGAAAACUAAUUUUCAAAAAGAACCUAUUGAUCAAAUAUUCUAAAUAAAUGUCUAUCUAUCUACAAAAACUCUUGUUAUCCUACUUCUAAAUUACAAUCUCAAAUCUACAAUAUUUCUCUACAAAAAUGAUAACUUUCCUAAAAUAGCAGUUUUUAAAAAAAUUAUUUUAAAAAAGAACCUAUUGAUCAAAUAUUCUAAAAGAAUGUCCAUCUAUCAACAAAAACUCUUGUUAUCUGAAUUUCUAAAUUACAAUCCCAAAUCUUCAAUAUUUCUCUACAAAAAUGAUAACUUUCCUAAAAUAGCAGGUUUUAGAAAAUGUAUUUAAAAAAUACAUUCUAGUGGUAAAAAAUUCUAAAAAAUGCUCAUCUAUUAAAAAAACUCUUGCAAUCCUAAUUUCUAAAUCAAAAUACCAAAUCUACAAUAUUUGCCUCCAAAAAUGAUAACUUUCCCAAAAUAGCAGUUUUUUAAAAAAAUAUUUUAAAAAAGUACCUAUUGAUCAAAUAUUCUAAAAGAAUGUCCAUCUAUCAACAAAAACUCUUGUUAUCUGAAUUUCUAAAUUACAAUCCCAAAUCUUCAAUAUUUCUCUACAAAAAUUCUAACUUUCCUAAAAUAGCAGUUUUUAGAAAAUUGAUUUAAAAAAUACAUUCUAAUUAUAAAAAAUUCUAAAAAAUGCUCAUAUAUUAAAAAAACACUUGUUAUCCUAAUUUCUAAAUCAAAAUACCAAAUCUACAAUAUUUGUCUACAAAAAUGAUAACUUUCCCAAAAUAGCAGUUUUUUAAAAUAUUAUUUUAAAAAAGAACCUAUUGAUCAAAUAUUCUAAAAGAAUGUUCAUCUAUCAACAAAAACUAUUGUUAUCUGAAUUUCUAAAUUACAAUCCCAAAUCCUCAAUAUUUCUCUACAAAAAUGAUAACUUUCCUAAAAUAGCAGCUUUUAGAAAAUUUAUUUAAAAAAUACAUUCUAAUGAUAAAAAAUUCCAAAAAAUGCUCAUAUAUUAAAAAAACACUUGUAAUUCUAAUUUCUAAAUCAAAAUACCAAAUCUACAAUAUUUGUCUACAAAGAUGAUAACUUUCCAAAAGUAGUAGUUUUUUUAAAAAAUAUUUUAAAAAAGAACCUAUUGAUCAAAUAUUCUAAAAGAAUGUCCAUCUAUCAACAAAAACUCUUGUUAUCUGAAUUUCUAAAUUACAAUCCCAAAUCUUCAAU